rnacentral:rRNA from 1 species
GACGAACCGUGCGAACGUUAUUCGGAAUCACUGGGCUUAAAGCGCGUGUAGGCGGGCCGGCACGUCGGUACCUGAAAGCCCCCGGCUCAACCGGGGAACUGGGGCCGAUACGACCGGCCUGGAGGGGCGUAGGGGGACCUGGAACUUCCGGUGGAGCGGUGAAAUGCGUUGAGAUCGGAAGGAACGCCCGUGGCGAAAGCGAGGUCCUGGACGCCUGCUGACGCUGAGACGCGAAAGCCAGGGUAGCGAACGGG